UCUUUCUACACUGCGCUACUUCUGACCAUGGGCCCAUAGUGAACUAUAUACUGUAGGGAAUCGGGUGCCAUUUGGGAUGCAAACUGAGGGCUGAGCCAUGUGACCCCUCCCUCUCAAACCACUCAUAAACAUCUCCUCUCUACUCAACCAUUCCAUUUAUUCCUCUGUCAUCACCCUCUUCAUGUUCCAUUAACUCCUCUGUCAUCAUCCUCCUCAGGUUCCAUUUAUUCCUCUGUCAUCACCCUCUUCAGGUUCUAUUUACUUUUUUGUCAUCACCCUCUUCAUGUUCCAUUUAUUCCUCUGUCAUCACCCUCCUCAGGUUCCAUGUAUUCCUCUGUCAUCACCCUCUUCAGGUUCCAUUUAUUCCUCUGUCAUCACCCUCUUCAUGUUCCAUGUAUUCCUCUGUCAUCAUCCUCCUCAGGUUCCAUUUAUUCCUCUGUCAUCACCCUCUUCAGGUUCCAUUUAUUCCUCUGUCAUCACCCUCUUCAGGUUCCAUUUAUUCCUCUGUCAUCACCCUCCUCAGGUUCCAUGUAUUCCUCUGUCAUCACCCUCUUCAUGUUCCAUGUAUUCCUCUGUCAUCACCCUCCUCAGGUUCCAUGUAUUCCUCUGUCAUCACCCUCUUCAGGUUCCAUUUAUUCCUCUGUCAUCACCCUCUUCAGGUUCCAUUUAUUCCUCUGUCAUCACCCUCUUCAGGUUCCAUUUAUUCCUCUGUCAUCACCCUCCUCAGGUUCCAUGUAUUCCUCUGUCAUCACCCUCUUCAGGUUCCAUUUAUUCCUCUGUCAUCAUCCUCUUC
rnacentral:lncRNA from 1 species